CCCAGGAUAGCUCAGUCAGCAGAGCAUAAGACUCUUAAUCUCAGGGUUGUGGGUUUGAGUCCCACAUUGGGU
rnacentral:tRNA from 1 species